AGGAGACGUAUGAAGAGAUAUACAAAUCAAAAAACGGAAUAUUCCAAUGCUCUUCAUCCGGGGAGAUGGCAUUGUGCUGGUUGCCCCUCCUCUGAGAGUUGGCUGAAACAAAGAACUUAUCGUAUGCAGAAAGUAGGAGGCUGUACAACUGCAUCUUCAAAGAUACAGA